UGAUGUGUAGGAUAGGUGGGAGGCUUUGAAGUGUGGACGCCAGUCUGCAUGGAGCCGGCCUUGAAAUACCACCCUUUAAUGUUUGAUGUUCUAACGUGGACCCGUAAUCCGGGUUGCGGACAGUGUCUGGUGGGUAGUUUGACUGGGGCGGUCUCCUCCUAAAGAGUAACGGAGGAGCACGAAGGUUGGCUAAUCCUGGUCGGACAUCAGGAGGUUAGUGCAAUGGCAUAAGCCAGCUUGACUGCGAGCGUGACGGCGCGAGCAGGUGCGAAAGCAGGUCAUAGUGAUCCGGUGGUUCUGAAUGGAAGGGCCAUCGCUCAACGGAUAAAAGGUACUCCGGGGAUAACAGGCUGAUACCGCCCAAGAGUUCAUAUCGACGGCGGUGUUUGGCACCUCGAUGUCGGCUCAUCACAUCCUGGGGCUGAAGUAGGUCCCAAGGGUAUGGCUGUUCGCCAUUUAAAGUGGUACGCGAGCUGGGUUUAGAACGUCGUGAGACAGUUCGGUCCCUAUCUGCCGUGGGCGCUGGAGAACUGAGGGGGGCUGCUCCUAGUACGAGAGGACCGGAGUGGACGCAUCACUGGUGUUCGGGUUGUCAUGCCAAUGGCACUGCCCGGUAGCUAAAUGCGGAAGAGAUAAGUGCUGAAAGCAUCUAAGCACGAAACUUGCCCCGA
rnacentral:rRNA from 1 species